rnacentral:lncRNA from 1 species
GGCUAAAAUCAUUAGAGCCUUGACAACCUAUAAAAUGUUAUAAUCUAAUAGUUUUUUCUCCUUCCGUAUCCCACCCUCCAUACCGCCUGAGACCUCAUUGUACGAAAGAGAAGUGGGGGUAUACGUGGAAGGAAAGCAAGAGUGAUAUUGAAAAGAAUAGGCUGUGGCUAGAUUUGAGAGAUUAUGCAGGCAAAACAAAUAAACAAAACAGAAAAAAACUACCAAGUACAGUAGAGAUCCCUACGUAUCCUUACAUAUACUGAUGCAAUGAAGACUCACAUUUUUAAGCUCCAUAUUGCACAUGCUGUGUAUCCACCCAUCUUCCAUGGAGCACAAGGGAGAUCAGGACUGCAGGGCUACAUGAAAGAUGUAGUCUAACCUUAAGAAGGGAUUUCUUAACUGCAC